GAUGAACGCUAGCUACAGGCUUAACACAUGCAAGUCGAGGGGCAUCAGGAAGAAAGCUUGCUUUCUUUGCUGGCGACCGGCGCACGGGUGAGUAACACGUAUCCAACCUGCCCUUUACUCGGGGAUAGCCUUUCGAAAGAAAGAUUAAUACCCGAUGGCAUAAUGAUUCCGCAUGGUUUCAUUAUUAAAGGAUUCCGGUAAAGGAUGGGGAUGCGUUCCAUUAGGUUGUUGGUGAGGUAACGGCUCACCAAGCCUUCGAUGGAUAGGGGUUCUGAGAGGAAGGUCCCCCACAUUGGAACUGAGACACGGUCCAAACUCCUACGGGAGGCAGCAGUGAGGAAUAUUGGUCAAUGGGCGCUAGCCUGAACCAGCCAAGUAGCGUGAAGGAUGAAGGCUCUAUGGGUCGUAAACUUCUUUUAUAUAAGAAUAAAGUGCAGUAUGUAUACUGUUUUGUAUGUAUUAUAUGAAUAAGGAUCGGCUAACUCCGUGCCAGCAGCCGCGGUAAUACGGAGGAUCCGAGCGUUAUCCGGAUUUAUUGGGUUUAAAGGGAGCGUAGGUGGACUGGUAAGUCAGUUGUGAAAGUUUGCGGCUCAACCGUAAAAUUGCAGUUGAUACUGUCAGUCUUGAGUACAGUAGAGGUGGGCGGAAUUCGUGGUGUAGCGGUGAAAUGCUUAGAUAUCACGAAGAACUCCGAUUGCGAAGGCAGCUCACUGGACUGCAACUGACACUGAUGCUCGAAAGUGUGGGUAUCAAACAGGAUUAGAUACCCUGGUAGUCCACACAGUAAACGAUGAAUACUCGCUGUUUGCGAUAUACAGUAAGCGGCCAAGCGAAAGCAUUAAGUAUUCCACCUGGGGAGUACGCCGGCAACGGUGAAACUCAAAGGAAUUGACGGGGGCCCGCACAAGCGGAGGAACAUGUGGUUUAAUUCGAUGAUACGCGAGGAACCUUACCCGGGCUUAAAUUGCAGUGGAAUGAUGUGGAAACAUGUCAGUGAGCAAUCACCGCUGUGAAGGUGCUGCAUGGUUGUCGUCAGCUCGUGCCGUGAGGUGUCGGCUUAAGUGCCAUAACGAGCGCAACCCUUAUCUUUAGUUACUAACAGGUUAUGCUGAGGACUCUAGAGAGACUGCCGUCGUAAGAUGUGAGGAAGGUGGGGAUGACGUCAAAUCAGCACGGCCCUUACGUCCGGGGCUACACACGUGUUACAAUGGGGGGUACAGAAGGCAGCUAGCGGGUGACCGUAUGCUAAUCCCAAAAGCCUCUCUCAGUUCGGAUCGAAGUCUGCAACCCGACUUCGUGAAGCUGGAUUCGCUAGUAAUCGCGCAUCAGCCACGGCGCGGUGAAUACGUUCCCGGGCCUUGUACACACCGCCCGUCAAGCCAUGGGAGCCGGGGGUACCUGAAGUACGUAACCGCAAGGAUCGUCCUAGGGUAAAACUGGUGACUGGG
rnacentral:rRNA from 1 species